rnacentral:rRNA from 1 species
UUCCGGUUGAUCCUGCCGGACCUGACUGCUAUCGGAUUGAUACUAAGCCAUGCGAGUCAUUGUAGCAAUACAAGGCAGACGGCUCAGUAACGCGUAGUCAACCUAACCUAUGGACGGGAAUAACCUCGGGAAACUGAGUAUAAUGCCCGAUAGAACAUUAUGCCUGGAAUGGUUUAUGUUCCAAAUGAUUUAUCGCCGUAGGAUGGGACUGCGGCCUAUCAGUUUGUUGGUGAGGUAAUGGCCCACCAAGACUAUUACAGGUACGGGCUCUGAGAGGAGUAGCCCGGAGAUGGGUACUGAGACACGGACCCAGGCCCUAUGGGGCGCAGCAGGCGAGAAAACUUUGCAAUGUGCGAAAGCACGACAAGGUUAAUCCGAGUGGUUUCUGCUAAAGGAACCUUUUGUUAGUCCUAGAAACACUAACGAAUAAGGGGUGGGCAAGUUCUGGUGUCAGCCGCCGCGGUAAAACCAGCACCUCAAGUGGUCAGGAUGAUUAUUGGGCCUAAAGCAUCCGUAGCCGGCUCUGUAAGUUUUCGGUUAAAUCUGUACGCUCAACGUACAGGCUGCCGGGAAUACUGUAGAGCUAGGGAGUGGGAGAGGUAGACGGUACUCGGGAGGAAGGGGUAAAAUCCUUUGAUCUCUCGAUGACCACCUGUGGCGAAGGCGGUCUACCAGAACACGUCCGACGGUGAGGGAUGAAAGCUGGGGGAGCAAACCGGAUUAGAUACCCGGGUAGUCCCAGCUGUAAACUAUGCAAACUCAGUGAUGCAUUGGCUUGUGGCCAAUGCAGUGUUGCAGGGAAGCCGUUAAGUUUGCCGCCUGGAAGUACGUACGCAAGUAUGAAACUUAAAGGAAUUGGCGGGGGAGCACCACAAGGGUGAAGCCUGCGGUUCAAUUGGAUUCAACGCCGGGA